UGCAAGUCGAACGGAAAGGCCCCCACCAUUUUUGGUGGGGGUGCUCGAGUGGCGAACGGGUGAGUAACACGUGGGUGAUUGCCCUGCACUUCGGGAUAAGCUUGGGAAACUGGGUCUAAUACCGGAUAGGACCAUGGUUUAGUGUCUCAUGGUGGAAAGAUGUUUUUUGGUGCAGGAUGAGCUCGCGGCCUAUCAGCUUGUUGGUGGGGUAAUGGCCUACCAAGGCGUCGACGGGUAGCCGGCCUGAGAGGGUGGACGGCCACAUUGGGACUGAGAUACGGCCCAGACUCCUACGGGAGGCAGCAGUGGGGAAUAUUGCACAAUGGGCGCAAGCCUGAUGCAGCGACGCCGCGUGGGGGAUGACGGCCUUCGGGUUGUAAACUCCUUUCGUUAGGGACGAAGCCAUACUUUUUGGGUGUGGUGACGGUACCUUGUAAA
rnacentral:rRNA from 1 species